rnacentral:rRNA from 1 species
UACGUAGGGCGCAAGCGUUAUCCGGAAUUAUUGGGCGUAAAGAGCUCGUAGGCGGUUUGUCGCGUCUGCCGUGAAAGUCCGGGGCUCAACUCCGGAUCUGCGGUGGGUACGGGCAGACUAGAGUGAUGUAGGGGAGAUUGGAAUUCCUGGUGUAGCGGUGGAAUGCGCAGAUAUCAGGAGGAACACCAAUGGCGAAGGCAGAUCUCUGGGCCGUAACUGACGCUGAGGAGCGAAAGCAUGGGGAGCGAACAGG